UGGUCCUGACCUUGUGAUCAAUUUCUACUUAAUUUACACAUGCAAGUACCCGCAUUCCUGUGAAAACGCCCUUAAUACCCUCUUGGGAAAAGGAGCCGGUAUCAGGCACAUUAAAUUGCCCAAGACACCUAGUUAUACCACAUCCACAAGGAAAAUCAGCAGUGAUUAACUUUGAGCAUGAGCGCAAGCUCGACUCAGUUAAAGUAUAGAAAGCCGGCAAAUCUGGUGCCAGCCGCCGCGGUUACACCAAGAGGCUAAUAUUGAUUUCAAUCGGCGUAAAGCGUGAUUAAAGUUAACUCAAACUAAAGUUAAAUUAAAACUAAGCUGUAGUACGCUUGUAUUUAAGAAUACCAAAAACGAAAGUUACUUUAAAUUAAACAACUUGAAUUCACGACAGUUAGAACACAAACUGGGAUUAGAUACCCCACUAUGUCUAAUCGUAAACUUUAAAUUACACAACAAUCGCCUGGGAACUACGAGCAAAGCUUAAAACCCAAAGGACUUGACGGUACCCCACAUCCACCUAGAGGAGCCUGUCCUAUAAUCGAUAACCCCCGUUUAACCUCACCAUUUUUAGUUUACCAGCCUGUAUACCUCCGUCGUUCAGCUUACCACAUGAGCGAAAUUUAGUAAGCCAAAUGUUUUUACAUCAACACGUCAGGUCAAGGUGCAGCAAAUGAAUUGGGAAGAGAUGGGCUACACUUUCUAAAGUAGAACAUACGAAAGACUACACAUGAAACUUAGUCAGAAGGCGGAUUUAGUAGUAAAAAGAAACAAGAGAGUUCUUUUUAACUCGGCACUGGGGUGUGUACACACCGCCCGUCACCCUCUUCAAAACAAAAAUUAGUAUUUAACAGUUUAAAGUAAAUCAGAAGAGGUAAGUCGUAACAUGGUAAGUAUACCGGAAGGUGUGCUUGGAAA
rnacentral:ncRNA from 1 species